rnacentral:rRNA from 1 species
CAUGCAAGUCGAACGAUGAAGUGGAGCUUGCUCCACGGAUUAGUGGCGAACGGGUGAGUAACACGUGAAUAACCUGCCCUCAAUUUCGGAAUAACCCAGGGAAACCUGGGCUAAUACCGGAUACGUAAACCUGUGGCAUCACAUGGUUUUGGAAAGUUUUUCGAUUGAGGAUGGAUUCGCGGCCUAUCAGCUUGUUGGUGAGGUAAUGGCUCACCAAGGCGACGACGGGUAGCCGGCCUGAGAGGGUGGACGGCCACACUGGGACUGAGACACGGCCCAGACUCCUACGGGAGGCAGCAGUGGGGAAUAUUGCGCAAUGGACGAAAGUCUGACGCAGCGACGCCUCGUGAGGGACGAAGGUCUUCGGAUUGUAAACCUCUUUCAGCAGGGACGAAGCGAAAGUGACGGUACCUGCAGAAGAAGCACCGGCUAACUAUGUGCCAGCAGCCGCGGUAAUACAUAGGGUGCAAGCGUUGUCCGGAUUUAUUGGGCGUAAAGAGUUCGUAGGCGGUUUUUCGCGUCGGAUGUGAAAACUCAGGGCUCAACCCUGAGCCUGCAUUCGAUACGGGAAGACUCGAGGACGGCAGGGGAGACUGGAACUUCUGGUGUAGCGGUGGAAUGCGCAGAUAUCAGAAAGAACACCAAUGGCGAAGGCAGGUCUCUGGGCCGAUCCUGACGCUGAGGAACGAAAGCGUGGGGAGCAAACAGGAUUAUAUACCCUGGUAGUCCACGCCGUAAACUAUGGACGCUAGGUGUGGGGGACAUUCCACGUUCUCUGCGCCCCAGCUUACGCAUUUAACGUCCCGUCUGGGGAGCACGACCGCCAGGGUAAA